rnacentral:rRNA from 1 species
UACGAAGGGGGCUAGCGUUGUUCGGAAUUACUGGGCGUAAAGCGCGUGUAGGCGGGUCUUUUAAGUCAGGGGUGAAAUGCCAAGGCUCAACCCUGGAACUGCCUUUGAUACUGGAGAUCUUGAGUCCGGGAGAGGUGAGUGGAACUGCGAGUGUAGAGGUGAAAUUCGUAGAUAUUCGCAAGAACACCAGUGGCGAAGGCGGCUCACUGGCCCGAUACUGACGCUGAGGCACGAAAGCGUGGGGAGCAAACAGG